rnacentral:rRNA from 1 species
GGUUAAGUUAGAAAGGGCGCACGGUGGAUGCCUUGGCACUAGGAGCCGAAGAAGGACGGGACUAACACCGAUAUGCUUUGGGGAGCUGUACGUAAGCGUUGAUCCAGAGAUUUCCGAAUGGGGGAACCCACUAUCUUUAGUCGGAUAGUAUCCUUACGUGAAUACAUAGCGUGAGGAAGGCAGACCCAGGGAACUGAAACAUCUAAGUACCUGGAGGAAGAGAAAGAAAAAUCGAUUUCCUGAGUAGCGGCGAGCGAAACGGAAAGAGCCCAAACCAAGAAGCUUGCUUCUUGGGGUUGUAGGACACUCUAUACGGAGUUACAAAAGAAAGUUAUAAAUGAAGCGGUCUGGAAAGGCCCGCCAAAGACGGUAACAGCCCGGUAGUUGAAAUGGCUUUCCCUCCAGAGUGGAUCCUGAGUACGGCGGAACACGUGAAAUUCCGUCGGAAUCCGGGAGGACCAUCUCCCAAGGCUAAAUACUCCCUA